rnacentral:misc_RNA from 1 species
GUGAAUCAUCAAAUUUUUGAACGCAAAUUGCACUCCCUGGUAUUCCGGGGAGUAUGCCUGUUUGAGGGUCGUUAGAAGAAAAAUCGAAGCUUCGCUCUUUUUUUUGAGGGUGAUCGCGUCGGCAUCGAGCCGCCUUUCAAAUGUUACUUCAUGUCAAAGUGGCUUAAAAUUUAUCCAUUUGGUUCGAUUUAAGCGUAUU